GGGAAUUGGAUGUAUGCUGCAAAAUUAGAUGGUGAAGGAGCUGCAAUGUAUGAUGCUGCUGUUGCUCUUUCUGAAGCUAUGAUUGAACUUGGGAUUGCAAUUGAUGGGGGGAAAGAUAGUCUUUCCAUGGCAGCCCACUCAUCGGAGGAAGUUGUUAAAGCUCCAGGGAAUCUAGUCAUCAGUACCUAUGUGACAUGUCCUGAUAUAACAAAGACUGUUACUCCAGACUUGAAGCUUGGAGAUGAUGGUGUGCUGCUUCAUAUUGAUUUGGCCAGAGGAAAACGACGACUCGGUGGAUCUGCUCUUGCCCAGGUGUUUGAUCAAAUUGGAGAUGAAAGUCCUGAUUUGGAUGAUGUCUCUUAUCUUAAAACUGUUUUUAAUGAGGUUCAGAACCUAAUCUCUGAUGAGUUGAUAUCUGCGGGUCAUGAUAUCAGUGAUGGGGGGCUCAUAGUGAAUGCUCUUGAAAUGGCAUUUGCAGGGAACUGUGGCAUUCGUUUGGAUUUAACCUCUUCUGGGAGCACUAUACCUGAAACAGUUUUUGCAGAGGAGCUUGGCCUUCUCAUUGAAGUUAGCAAGAAAAACGUGGAUUUAGUUCUGGAAAAGCUCCACCAUGGUGAUGUUUCUGCUAAUAUCAUCGGUCAAGUUACUUCAUCUCCGAUGGUUGAAUUGAAGGUUGAUGGGGUUACACAUUUGAAUGAGGAAACUUCUGUGCUCAGGGAUAUGUGGGAAGAGACUAGCUUUCAACUGGAAAAGUUCCAAAGACUGGAUUCAUGUGUAGAAUUAGAAAAAGAAGGGUUAAAAAAUCGGCAUGAACCUUCGUGGAAACUAUCUUUCACGCCAACAUUUACUGAUGAUAAGUAUAUGACUGCCAUUUCAAAGCCAAAGGUUGCAGUUAUCCGGGAGGAAGGCAGCAAUGGUGAUAGAGAAAUGUCUGCAGCCUUUUCUGCUGCUGGAUUUGAACCAUGGGAUGUUGCAAUGUCAGACCUUCUCAAUGGAUUCAUCACACUGGAUGAAUUUAGAGGAAUUGUGUUUGUUGGAGGUUUUAGUUAUGCUGAUGUACUUGAUUCUGCCAAAGGCUGGGGAGCGUCCAUUCGCUUUAAUGAGCCUCUUCUAAAUCAAUUUCAGGCAUUUUAUAACCGUCCGGACACUUUCAGCCUCGGAGUUUGCAAUGGGUGCCAACUUAUGGCUCUAUUGGGUUGGGUGCCAGGGCCCCAAGUAGGAGGUGUUUUUGGUGCCGGAGGGGAUCCAUCACAGCCAAGGUUCAUACAUAAUGAGUCUGGAAGGUUUGAAUGUCGUUUCACGAAUGUGACAAUAGAAGAAACACCAGCCAUAAUGUUCAAAGGUAUGGAAGGUAGUACAUUAGGUGUUUGGGCUGCUCAUGGUGAAGGAAGAGCUUAUUUCCCUGAUGAUAGUAUUUUCAAUCAUAUUCUUGGCUCCAACUUGGCGCCAGUGAAGUAUUGCAAUGAUGAUGGCACACCAACAGAAGUAUAUCCUUUCAAUCCUAACGGUUCUCCUCUGGGUGUAGCCGCAAUUUGUUCUCCAGAUGGUAGACAUCUCGCGAUGAUGCCUCAUCCAGAACGCUGUUUCUUGAUGUGGCAGUAUCCAUGGUAUCCUAAAAAUUGGGAUGUUGAAAAGAAAGGCCCAAGCCCCUGGUUGCGAAUGUUUCAAAAUGCCAGAGAAUGGUGCUCAUAAGAUCUUUCAAAAAUUCCAAAGGCGUGAUAUUUGUGUUUGACAAACGACAUAGAAGGCACUGAAGGUGCAGAGAUUGAGAUUCUUGCAAUUUGGUUGCAGAUACGACGGGACAAACUAAUGAGUCUUUCGUCAUUCUUAUCGCGCCUUUCAUCAUUCUCAAGAAUAUAUUUGGUUCUAAUACCAAGUAUUUUGAUGAAUCAAAUGCGUAACUGAAACUACGAGCGCAGUUCCUUGGACAAUUCUGCUGUCUUUUUGACACUAUUAUGGUUCACCCAUCAAAAUCUGUCCUUAAUAUGCAGAGACUCACUCAAUUUUAGCAACUUAUUUUUAUCCUUUAGUCUAAGAUUAAGUGCACUUGUCCUUCACAAAUU
rnacentral:misc_RNA from 1 species